rnacentral:rRNA from 1 species
UAUCAAUAAGCGGAGGAAAAGAAACCAACAGGGAUUGCCCCAGUAACGGCGAGUGAAGCGGCAACAGCUCAAAUUUGAAAUCUGGCCCCCCCGGGGCCCGAGUUGUAAUUUGCAGAGGAUGCUUUUGGCGAGGCGCCUUCCGAGUUCCCUGGAACGGGACGCCGCAGAGGGUGAGAGCCCCGUCUGGUCGGACGCCGAGCCUCUGUAAAGCUCCUUCGACGAGUCGAGUAGUUUGGGAAUGCUGCUCUAAAUGGGAGGUAUAUGUCUUCUAAAGCUAAAUACCGGCCAGAGACCGAUAGCGCACAAGUAGAGUGAUCGAAAGAUGAAAAGCACUUUGAAAAGAGGGUUAAACAGUACGUGAAAUUGUUGAAAGGGAAGCGCUCACGACCAGACUUGGGCCCGGCGGCAUCAUCCGGCGUUCUCGCCGGUGCACUCCGCCAGGCUUCCAGGCCAGCAUCAGUUCGCGCCGGGGGACAAAGGCUCGGGGAAUGUAGCUUCCCUCGGGAGUGGUAUAACCCCCUGCGCAAUGCCCCGGGGCGGACUGAGGUUCGCGCGUCCCGCAAGGAUGCUGGCGUAAUGGUCGUCAGCGACCCGUCUUGAAACACGGACCAAGGAGUCGUCUUCGUAUGCGAGUGUUCGGGUGUGAAACCCCUACGCGUAAUGAAAGUGAACGCAGGUGAGAGCUUCGGCGCAUCAUCGACCGAUCCUGAUGUUCUCGGAUGGAUUUGAGUAGGAGCAUACGGGGCCGGACCCGAAAGAAGGUGAACUAUGCCUGUAUAGGGUGAAGCCAGAGGAAACUCUGGUGGAGGCUCGCAGCGGUUCUGACGUGCAAAUCGAUCGUCAAAUAUGGGCAUGGGGGCGAAAGACUAAUCGAACCUUCUAGUAGCUGGUUUC